rnacentral:rRNA from 1 species
GUAGUCCACGCCCUAAACGAUGAUCACUCGAUGUGUGCGAUACACUGUACGCGUCUGAGCGAAAGCAUUAAGUGAUCCACCUGGGGAGUACGACCGCAAGGUUGAAACUCAAAGGAAUUGACGGGGGCCCGCACAAGCGGAGGAGCAUGUGGUUUAAUUCGAUGAUACGCGAGGAACCUUACCAGGGCUUGAAAGUUAGUGAAGAAUGUGGAAACAUGUUCGUCAGCAAUGACACGAAACUAGGUGCUGCAUGGCUGUCGUCAGCUCGUGCCGUGAGGUGUUGGGUUAAG